rnacentral:rRNA from 1 species
UNCACGCCGUAAACGAUGAGUGCUAGGUGUUAGGCCCUUUCCGGGGCUUAGUGCCGCAGCUAACGCAUUAAGCACUCCGCCUGGGGAGUACGACCGCAAGGUUGAAACUCAAAGGAAUUGACGGGGGCCCGCACAAGCGGUGGAGCAUGUGGUUUAAUUCGAAGCAACGCGAAGAACCUUACCAGGUCUUGACAUCCCGAUGCCCGCUCUAGAGAUAGAGUUUUACUUCGGUACAUCGGUGACAGGUGGUGCAUGGUUGUCGUCAGCUCGUGUCGUGAGAUGUUGGGUUAAGUCCCGCAACGAGCGCAACCCUUAUUGUUAGUUGCCAUCAUUCAGUUGGGCACUCUAGCGAGACUGCCGGUAAUAAACCGGAGGAAGGUGGGGAUGACGUCAAAUCAUCAUGCCCCUUAUGACCUGGGCUACACACGUGCUACAAUGGCUGGUACAACGAGUCGCAAGUCGGUGACGGCAAGCUAAUCUCUUAAAGCCAGUCUCAGUUCGGAUUGUAGGCUGCAACUCGCCUACAUGAAGUCGGAAUCGCUAGUAAUCGCGGAUCAGCACGCCGCGGUGAAUACGUUCCCGGGCCUUGUACACACCGCCCGUCACACCACGAGAGUUUGUAACACCCGAAGUCGGUGAG